rnacentral:rRNA from 1 species
UCUANUUGGAGGUAUAAAAAGUCUGACCUGCCCACUGAUAAAGUUAAUAAUUUAAGGGCCGCGGUAUUAUGACUGUGCAAAGGUAGCAUAAUCAUUUGGUUUUUAAAUGAGAUCUUGUAUGAAUGGUUUGACAAAGGAAAAACUGUCUUUAAGUUAGAAUUUGAAUUUAACUUUUAAGUGAGAAGGCUUAAAUAUUUUAGGGGGACGAUAAGACCCUAUAAAGCUUUAUAUUGUAAUUAUACUAAAUUAAAUUUUUUAUAUAAAAGUUUUAUAUAAUUAUUUAUUUUGUUGGGGAGACAUAAGUAAAAAUAAUAGUAACUGCUUAAAAUAUAAACAUAUAUUGAUGAAGAAUUAAUUGAUCCUAUUUAUAGAUUUAAAGAUUAAGUUACUUUAGGGAUAACAGUGUAAUUUUUUUUGAGAGUUCUUAUCGAAAAAAAAGUUUGCAACCUCGAUGUUGAAUUAAAUUUCCUAUAUAAUGCAGUCGUUAUAUAAGGUGGUCUGUUCGACCUUCAAUU